UGAUGAACAGGUAGACGAUGUCGAUUAAUUAAGAAUCAUGCGUAGUCCUAUAUAAAUUAAGAAAAAUAACCAAAUCUCUCUUAUUAUUGAGUGAGCUACAAAAUGCUACAGUAACGUGAGAAAUGACCGGACUAGUAGUACACAAUAGUAUGCAUGCAAACGCAUGCUCAUAUAGCAGAGAAUGAGAAAGGUAGGGAAAUGCAAAUAUAAACGUGAAUCUAAUAAAAUUGAAAUAGGCUUUAAGCAAGAAGUAAGCCUGCAAAGAGUGGUAGAGUGAGGGCCAAGGUGGUGGUUCCAUGAAGGAAGGCGUUGCUCGGGGUUGAUGGCGACGGAGAUAUUGAUGAUGGUGAUGUGGAAGAUGGGCUUUGGGCACUUGCAGGCGGUGAUGAAACUGUGUGUGCGGGUGCAGGGGAGGGGGCUUGACCUGCGGAGAUUGCCACCAGAGCUAAGGACGUGGCUAGCAUGAGCAUGGCACGUGUCAGAGCCAUGCCUCUAGGGUUGAUGAUAAUAACAGAGGAAAGCUAGUUUGAGAGGAA
rnacentral:lncRNA from 1 species